UUAAUUGAAGCCAAAAAUCUGAGGUAUCUUAUUGUUAAUAAGAAUAUUGAAUAUUAUAUUCCAAUUAAA
rnacentral:tRNA from 1 species